rnacentral:rRNA from 1 species
GAUCAUGGCUCAGGUUGAACGCUGGCGGCAUGCCUUACACAUGCAAGUCGAACGGCAGCACGGGAGCUUGCUCCUGGUGGCGAGUGGCGAACGGGUGAGUAAUACAUCGGAACGUACCCUGAAGUGGGGGAUAACGUAGCGAAAGUUACGCUAAUACCGCAUAUUCUGUGAGCAGGAAAGAGGGGGAUCGCAAGACCUCUUGCUUUAGGAGCGGCCGAUGUCGGAUUAGCUAGUUGGUGAGGUAAAGGCUCACCAAGGCGACGAUCCGUAGCGGGGUCUGAGAGGAUGAUCCGCCACACUGGGACUGAGACACGGCCCAGACUCCUACGGGAGGCAGCAGUGGGGAAUUUUGGACAAUGGGCGCAAGCCUGAUCCAGCCAUGCCGCGUGAGUGAAGAAGGCCUUCGGGUUGUAAAGCUCUUUCGGUGGGGAAGAAAUUGCACAGGAUAAUACCUUGUGUAGAUGACGGUACCCGCAUAAGAAGCACCGGCUAACUACGUG